CACGUAGGGUGCGAGCGUUGUCCGGAAUUAUUGGGCGUAAAGGGCUCGUAGGCGGUUUGUCGCGUCGGGAGUGAAAACUCAGGGCUUAACCCUGAGCCUGCUUCCGAUACGGGCAGACUAGAGGUAUGCAGGGGAGAACGGAAUUCCUGGUGUAGCGGUGAAAUGCGCAGAUAUCAGGAGGAACACCGGUGGCGAAGGCGGGUCUCUGGGCCGGUACUGACGCUGAGGUGCGAAAGCGUGGGGAGCAAACAGG
rnacentral:rRNA from 1 species